rnacentral:rRNA from 1 species
GAUGAACGCUGGCGGCGUGCCUAAUACAUGCAAGUCGAACGAAGCCUUCGGGCUUAGUGGCGGACGGGUGAGUAACACGUUGGUACCUGCCUCGAAGUGGGGAAUAACUGGCCGAAAGGUCGGCUAAUACCGCAUGUGAUCGCAAGAUCAAAGUCGUAAGACGCUUCGAGAGGGGCCUGCGUCCCAUUAGCUAGUUGGUAGGGUAAUGGCCUACCAAGGCGACGAUGGGUAGCUGGAUCGAGAGGUUGACCAGCCACACUGGGACUGAGAUACGGCCCAGACUCCUACGGGAGGCAGCAGUAAGGAAUCUUCCACAAUGGACGAAAGUCUGAUGGAGCAACGCCGCGUGCAGGAUGACGGCCUUCGGGUUGUAAACCUCUUUUAGUAGGGAAGAAGCGAAAGUGACGGUACCUGCAGAAAAAGCACCGGCUAACUACGUGCCAGCCGCCGCCGUAA